GCGUCGGUGGUGCAAACGGUUAGCAUACACUACCAGAAAAAGUGAGAUACGGGUUCGAAUCCCGGCUGACGCA